GACGUAGGGCGCAAGCGUUGUCCGGAUUUAUUGGGCGUAAAGAGCUCGUAGGCGGCCUGGCGCGUCGACCGUGAAAACCCGCAGCUCAACUGCGGGCUUGCGGUCGAUACGGGCAGGCUGGAGUUCGGUAGGGGAGACUGGAAUUCCUGGUGUAGCGGUGAAAUGCGCAGAUAUCAGGAGGAACACCGGUGGCGAAGGCGGGUCUCUGGGCCGAUACUGACGCUGAGGAGCGAAAGCGUGGGGAGCGAACAGG
rnacentral:rRNA from 1 species